AGAGUUUGAUCAUGGCUCAGGACGAACGCUGGCGGCGUGCUUAACACAUGCAAGUCGAGCGGUAAGGCCUUUCGGGGUACACGAGCGGCGAACGGGUGAGUAACACGUGGGCAACCUGCCCCGUACUCUGGGAUAAGCCCGGGAAACUGGGUCUAAUACCGGAUAGGACCUUCGCAGGCAUCUGUGGGGGUGGAAAGUUC
rnacentral:rRNA from 1 species